UACGUAGGGUGCAAGCGUUGUCCGGAAUUAUUGGGCGUAAAGAGCGUGUAGGCGGCCCGAUUAGUCCGCUGUGAAAGUCCAGGGCUCAACCCUGGAAUGCCGGUGGAUACUGUCGGGCUAGAGUCCGGAAGGGGCGAGUGGAAUUCCUGGUGUAGCGGUGAAAUGCGCAGAUAUCAGGAGGAACACCAAUGGCGAAGGCAGCUCGCUGGGACGUGACUGACGCUGAGACGCGAAAGCGUGGGGAGCGAACAGG
rnacentral:rRNA from 1 species